GACGAACGCUGGCGGCGUGCUUAACACAUGCAAGUCGAACGGAAAGGCCCUGCUUUUGUGGGGUGCUCGAGUGGCGAACGGGUGAGUAACACGUGAGUAACCUGCCCUUGACUUUGGGAUAACUUCAGGAAACUGGGGCUAAUACCGGAUAGGAGCUCCUGCUGCAUGGUGGGGGUUGGAAAGUUUCGGCGGUUGGGGAUGGACUCGCGGCUUAUCAGCUUGUUGGUGGGGUAGUGGCUUACCAAGGCUUUGACGGGUAGCCGGCCUGAGAGGGUGACCGGCCACAUUGGGACUGAGAUACGGCGCAGACGCCUACGGGAGGCAGCAGGGGGGAAUAUGGCACAAUGGGCGGAAGCCUGAUGCAGCAACGCCGCGUGCGGGAUGACGGCCUUCGGGUUGUAAACCGCUUUCGCCUGUGACGAAGCGUGAGUGACGGUAAUGGGUAAAGAAGCACCGGCUAACUACGUG
rnacentral:rRNA from 1 species